rnacentral:rRNA from 1 species
CCUACGGGGGGCAGCAGUGGGGAAUAUUGGACAAUGGGGGCAACCCUGAUCCAGCCAUGCCGCGUGUGUGAAGAAGGCCCUCGGGUUGUAAAGCACUUUCAGUGAGGAAGAACGCCUGGUGGUUAAUACCCAUCAGGAAAGACAUCACUCACAGAAGAAGCACCGGCUAACUCCGUGCCAGCAGCCGCGGUAAUACGGAGGGUGCGAGCGUUAAUCGGAAUUACUGGGCGUAAAGCGCGCGUAGGUGGCUUGAUAAGCCGGUUGUGAAAGCCCCGGGCUCAACCUGGGAACGGCAUCCGGAACUGUCAAGCUGGAGUGCAGGAGAGGAAGGUAGAAUUCCCGGUGUAGCGGUGAAAUGCGUAGAGAUCGGGAGGAAUACCAGUGGCGAAGGCGGCCUUCUGGACUGACACUGACACUGAGGUGCGAAAGCGUGGGUAGCAAACAGGAUUAGAUACCCCGGUAGUC